UACAGAGGUCUCAAGCGUUGUUCGGAUUCAUUGGGCGUAAAGGGUGCGUAGGCGGCGCUGUAAGUCGGGUGUGAAAUCUCGGGGCUUAACUCCGAAACUGCAUUCGAUACUGCCGUGCUUGAGGACUGGAGAGGAGACUGGAAUUUACGGUGUAGCGGUGAAAUGCGUAGAUAUCGUAAGGAAGACCAGUGGCGAAGGCGGGUCUCUGGACAGUUCCUGACGCUGAGGCACGAAGGUCAGGGGAGCAAACGGG
rnacentral:rRNA from 1 species